ensembl:lincRNA
CCAACUUCCUGAUUGGCACAAACAGAGUUGAUGCUGAAAGUUGUGUCUUCCAGCUGAUGGCUUGGGAAUCUCUACAUUGGAAUUUCAACCAGAAACCCACGGUUACACUGGCUGCCACUCAAACAGAGAAGCCAAAAAUCAGUUUGCUUCCAUCUGGCUCUUCAAGGACUGACUUGAUUCCUGCCUUGGAAACCAUCAGCACCAGACCACAGAUGGAAACAGAUCACCCAAGCUCAGCUCACAGCUCAGGUUUCCCAGUCCCUGGAACCCUCCUCAGCAGCAGUGAAAUGUCCAGGCUUCCAACUGGAAUCAAAGAGAUUUGCUUUAUUCAAGAGUCUUUGGGAUUAGAAGGAAUGAAGCUAUACUUUUGGUAUACAGGACAUCCUUGCAGAUAUUAGGAGAUGCGUCCCUGGGCAAGGUGAUCUCGGUAACAUCUGUCUCUUCACUGACACACUGGGAUACCAUACUUACAUAUAAGAUGAAUUUAAAUCCUGCCUGUGACUUCAAUAUAAGAAGAUGCUGGUAGCUUGUGACUUCAAUAUAACAAGAUGCUAUUAUAAACCUCUUGCUCCUUCUACUCCAUAGUGAGGAGACACUGGGAUGCCUUUUGCUGGGAAAAGGGCAAAUGUGAUAAACUCAACGUUUUCAAAAAGAAAUUACAAGAUAAAAAAUAAGAAAUGAUAAAUUAUAAGUGACUUUGUUGACAUAUCAACCAAACACAACGUGUCAACUUCAUUUGAGUUCUGAUUUGAACCAGUCAAAUGAAGAGUGAUAGUGUAAUGGGGAUGGAGAAGAUAGAGGAG